CAGCCGCCACGGUAAUACGAAGGGGGCUAGCGUUGUUCGGAUUUACUGGGCGUAAAGGGCGCGUAGGCGGGCGAUUAAGUCAGAGGUGAAAUCCCAAGGCUCAACCUUGGAACUGCCUUUGAUACUGGUUGUCUUGAGUCCGGGAGAGGUGAGUGGAACUGCGAGUGUAGAGGUGAAAUUCGUAGGUAUUCGCAAGAACACCAGUGGCGAAGGCGGCUCACUGGCCCGGAACUGACGCUGAGGCGCGAAAGCGUGGGGAGCAAACAGGAUUAGAUACCCCAGUAGUCCCUGUCUCUUAUAA
rnacentral:rRNA from 1 species